AAGCACAAAUCUAAUUUCAUUUGUUUUCUCUCUCAUCUCAAACAGGUUUAACAGAAGGACAGACAUGCGAUUUGCUUUGUACUAUCAAAGCUACAACAGCACUAAAAGACCAGACUGAACCAAGUAUAAUUUGCUCGAAAUACACAGAGUUUGAGAACUGUGUCUAUAACUUAACCUGCUUGUCUAAUACAGAGAAAGGUGUAUCAACAGAAACUCUGAAGCAGUUCAUUAUAAAAACGUUUCGCACUACGUGUGAAUCGAGUAUUAAAG
rnacentral:sRNA from 1 species